GCCUAAAGCGUCCGUAGCCUGUUCUAUAAGUUUCCGGUUAAAUCCAUUAGCUCAACUAAUGGGCCGCCGAAAAUACUGUAGAACUAGGGAGUGGGAGAGGUAGACGGUAUUCGGUAGGAAGGGGUAAAAUCCUUUGAUCUAUCGAGGACCACCUGUGGCGAAGGCGGUCUACCAGAACACGUCCGACGGUGAGGGAUGAAAGCUGGGGGAGCAAACCGGAUUAGAUACCCGGGUAGUCCCAGCUGUAAACUAUGCAAACUCAGUGAUGCAUUGGCUUGUGGCCAAUGCAGUGUUGCAGGGAAGCCGUUAAGUUUGCCGCCUGGGAAGUACGUACGCAAGUAUGAAACUUAAAGGAAUUGGCGGGGGAGCACCACAAGGGGUGAAGCCUGCGGUUCAAUUGGAGUCAACGCCAGAAAUCUUACCCGGAGAGACAGCAGAAUGAAGGUCAAGCUGAAGACUUUACCAGACAAGCUGAGAGGUGGUGCAUGGCCGCCGCCAGCUCGUGCCGUGAGAUGUCCUGUUAAGUCAGGUAACGAGCGAGAUCCCUGCCUCUAGUUGCUACCACUACUCUCAGGAGUAGUGGGGCGAAUUAGCGGGACCGCCGCAGUUAAUGCGGAGGAAGGAAGGGGCCACGACAGGUCAGUAUGCCCCGAA
rnacentral:rRNA from 1 species